UCCCUGGUAGUAAAGUGGUUAAGACUCUGCGUUUCCACUGCAGGGGGCAUGGGUUCAAAUCCUGGUCAGGGAA
rnacentral:tRNA from 1 species